GACGAACGCUGGCGGCGUGCUUAACACAUGCAAGUCGAACGGAAAGGCCCUGCUUUUGUGGGGUGCUCGAGUGGCGAACGGGUGAGUAACACGUGAGUAACCUGCCCUUGACUUUGGGAUAACUUCAGGAAACUGGGGCUAAUACCGGAUAGGAGCUCCUGCUGCAUGGUGGGGGUUGGAAAGUUUCGGCGGUUGGGGAUGGACUCGCGGCUUAUCAGCUUGUUGGUGGGGUAGUGGCUUACCAAGGCUUUGACGGGUAGCCGGCCUGGGAGGGGGACCGGCCACAAUGGGACUGAGAUACGGCCCAGACGCCUACGGGGGGCAGCAGUGGGGAGUAUUGCACAAUGGGCGGAAGCCUGAGGCAGCAACGCCGCGUUCGGGAUGACGGCCUUCGGGUUGUAAACCGCUUUCGCCUGUGACGAAGCGUGAGUGACGGUAAUGGGUAAAGAAGCACCGGCUAACUACGUG
rnacentral:rRNA from 1 species